UCUUCCUGCUGGGGGCAAUUUUAUCUGGGGAUGGACUGCAGUCAGUGUUUGAACACCGAGAUACCUCUGCCCAUCUGCUGAGGAGCCCUCUGGAGAGGUUUGUGAAGAUGUAAAGCAAGCUGGAACUUGUGUUCAAAUUCUGAGGUUGCAGGUUAAAACAACAAAGGACUAUAAAACCAACUAAGCACCAGUCUUGCCAGCCUGUGUUUGUAGGAAUGCCUCAACUGAGUCACUCUAUUGGAACCUACACCGUCUUUUUCAUAGAUACCGAAAACCUUAGUCCUGACAGUGGUACCACAGAGCAUCAUGCUGUUUCAUCAUUUCCUAAGUUAGGCAUCUUCUGAGGACUGAAGUCAGAACUGAACUGAAGGGCAGGACAGUGUAGAAGAUCUCACCACACUUGGA